rnacentral:rRNA from 1 species
UACGUAGGGAGCAAGCGUUGUCCGGAAUCAUUGGGCGUAAAGCGCGCGUAGGUGGCUUCGUAAGUCCGCUGUGAAAGUCAAAGGCUCAACCUUUGAAAGCCGGUGGAUACUGUGAAGCUAGAGUACGGAAGAGGCGAGUGGAAUUCCUGGUGUAGCGGUGGAAUGCGCAGAUAUCAGGAGGAACACCAAUAGCGAAGGCAGCUCGCUGGGACGUUUACUGACACUGAGGCGCGAAAAGCGUGGGGGAGCGAA